rnacentral:tRNA from 1 species
AAGAAAGUGACAGAGCGGUUUUGUGUUUGGCUUGAAACCAAUUUACGGGGGUUCGAUUCCUCCCUUUCUGG